rfam:Candidatus Nanopusillus sp. Nst1 Nst1_C6, whole genome shotgun sequence.
GCCACCGUAGCUCAGCUGGUAGAGCGCUACCCUGGUAAGGUAGAGGCCCCGGGUUCAAAUCCCGGCGGUGGCA